GAAGGUGUAGCUCAGUGGUAGAGCACAUGCUUAGCAUGCACCAGGUCCUGGGUUCAAUCCUCAGUAUCUCCA
rnacentral:tRNA from 1 species